rnacentral:rRNA from 1 species
AACGGGGGGAGCGAGCGUUAUUCGUCAUGACUGGGCGUAAAGGGGAUCUGUAGGUGGCAUUAUUGACGUAUUGAAUUUAAAGCCUUAUUUUAAUUAAUUUUGGACGUUUCGAUAAAACUUUAAGCUAAGAGUAUGCGUGAGAUGAUAGUAGGUACCCGUGGAGAAGAGGUGAAAUUCGUGAAUACCACUGGGGACUCUCUUUAUGUGAAGACGACUAUCUUCGGGUAUUACUGACGCUGAGGGAUGAAAGCAUGGGGAGCAAACAGG